rnacentral:rRNA from 2 species
CAUUACCGAGUGAGGGCCCUCUGGGUCCAACCUCCCACCCGUGUUUAUUUUACCUUGUUGCUUCGGCGGGCCCGCCUUAACUGGCCGCCGGGGGGCUUACGCCCCCGGGCCCGCGCCCGCCGAAGACACCCUCGAACUCUGUCUGAAGAUUGUAGUCUGAGUGAAAAUAUAAAUUAUUUAAAACUUUCAACAACGGAUCUCUUGGUUCCGGCAUCGAUGAAGAACGCAGCGAAAUGCGAUACGUAAUGUGAAUUGCAAAUUCAGUGAAUCAUCGAGUCUUUGAACGCACAUUGCGCCCCCUGGUAUUCCGGGGGGCAUGCCUGUCCGAGCGUCAUUGCUGCCCUCAAGCACGGCUUGUGUGUUGGGCCCCGUCCUCCGAUCCCGGGGGACGGGCCCGAAAGGCAGCGGCGGCACCGCGUCCGGUCCUCGAGCGUAUGGGGCUUUGUCACCCGCUCUGUAGGCCCGGCCGGCGCUUGCCGAUCAACCCAAAUUUUUAUCCAGGUUGACCUCGGAUCAGGUAG